rnacentral:rRNA from 1 species
GAUGAACGCUGGCGGCGUGCCUAAUACAUGCAAGUCGAGCGAACAGAUAAGGAGCUUGCUCCUUUGACGUUAGCGGCGGACGGGUGAGUAACACGUGGGUAACCUACCUAUAAGACUGGAAUAACUCCGGGAAACCGGGGCUAAUGCCGGAUAACAUUUAGAACCGCAUGGUUCUAAAGUGAAAGAUGGUUUUGCUAUCACUUAUAGAUGGACCCGCGCCGUAUUAGCUAGUUGGUAAGGUAACGGCUUACCAAGGCAACGAUACGUAGCCGACCUGAGAGGGUGAUCGGCCACACUGGAACUGAGACACGGUCCAGACUCCUACGGGAGGCAGCAGUAGGGAAUCUUCCGCAAUGGGCGAAAGCCUGACGGAGCAACGCCGCGUGAGUGAUGAAGGUCUUCGGAUCGUAAAACUCGGUUAUUAGGGAAGAACAAAUGUGUAAGUAACUGUGCACGUCUUGACGGUACCUAAUCAGAAAGCCACGGCUAACUACGUG